CGUAAAGAGCUCGUAGGCGGUUUGUCGCGUCGGCUGUGAAAACUUGGGGCUCAACCCUAAGCCUGCAGUCGAUACGGGCAGACUUGAGUGCGGUAGGGGAGACUGGAAUUCCUGGUGUAGCGGUGAAAUGCGCAGAUAUCAGGAGGAACACCGGUGGCGAAGGCGGGUCUCUGGGCCGUAACUGACGCUGAGGAGCGAAAGCGUGGGGAGCGAACAGGAUUAGAUACCCUGGUAGUCUUGGCCCUAAACUAUGUUCACUAGGUGUCGGGGGGUUUCCCUCGGUGCCGCAGCUAACGCAUUAAGUGAACCGCCUGGGGACUACGGCCGCAAGGUUGAAACUCAAAGGAAUUGGCGGGGGCCCGCACAAGCGGUGGAGCAUAUGGCUUAAUUCGAUGCAACGCGAAGAACCUUACCAGGGCUUGACAUGCAACUGCAAGCCGCCGAAAAGCGGUCGCUUUCGAAGGUGUUGCACAGGUGGUGCAUGGCUGUCGUCAGCUCGUGUUGUGAAAUGUUGGGUUAAGUCCCGCAACGAGCGCAACCCUCAUGUUUUGUUGCCAGCGAGUCAAGUCGGGAACUCAAAACAAACUGCCUCUGUAAAGAGGAGGAAGGUGGGGAUGACGUCAAGUCAUCAUGCCCCUUACGCCCUGGGCUGCACAUAUGCUACAAUGGCUGCGACAAUGGGUUGCUAUCCCGCGAGGGCUUGCUAAUCUCAAAAACGCAGUCUCAGUUCGGAUUGGAGUCUGCAACUCGACUC
rnacentral:rRNA from 1 species